GCCAGGCAUGGUGGAGCAUGCCUGUAGUCCCAGCUACUUGGGAGGCUGAGGUGGGAGGAUCACCUGAGCCCAGGAGGUCGAGGCUGCAGUGAACCAUGAUGUGCCACUGCAGUCUAGCCUGGGCAACGGAGUGAGAACCUGUGCCAA
rnacentral:SRP_RNA from 1 species